UACGAAGGGUGCAAACGUUGCUCGGAAUUAUUGGGCGUAAAGCGCACGUAGGCGGCAUUGCAAGUCGGAUGUGAAAUCUUAUGGCUUAACCAUAAAAGUGCAUCCGAAACUGCAGUGCUUGAGUACUUAAGAGGAUCGCGGAAUUCCCGGUGUAGAGGUGAAAUUCGUAGAUAUCGGGAGGAACACCAGUGGCGAAGGCGGCGAUCUGGGAAGAUACUGACGCUGAGGUGCGAAAGCCAGGGGAGCAAACGGG
rnacentral:rRNA from 1 species